rnacentral:rRNA from 2 species
GAUAAACGCUGACAGAAUGCUUAACACAUGCAAGUCUAUGAGGAAGUUUAGCUUGCUAAAUGGACUCAUGGCGGACGGGUGAGUAACGCGUAAAGAACUUGCCCUUUAGACUGGGAUAACAGAGGGAAACUUCUGAUAAUACUGGAUAAGUUAGUAUAUCGCAUGAUAUGCAAAUGAAAGCUACGGCACUAAAGGAGAGCUUUGCGUCCUAUUAGCUAGUUGGUAAGGUAAGAGCUUACCAAGGCGAUGAUAGGUAGCCGGCCUGAGAGGGUGGACGGCCACAAGGGGACUGAGAUACGGCCCUUACUCCUACGGGAGGCAGCAGUGGGGAAUAUUGGACAAUGGAGGGAACUCUGAUCCAGCAAUUCUGUGUGUGUGAAGAAGGUUUUAGGACUGUAAAACACUUUUAGUAGGGAAGAAAAAAAUGACGGUACCUACAGAAGAAGCAACGGCUAAAUACGUGCCAGCAGCCGCGGUAAUACGUAUGUUGCGAGCGUUAUCCGGAAUUAUUGGGCUUAAAGGGCAUCUAGGCGGUAAGACAAGUUGAAGGUGAAAACCUGUGGCUCAACCAUAGGCUUGCCUACAAAACUGUUGAACUAGAGUACUGGAAAGGUGGGUGGAACUACACGAGUAGAGGUGAAAUUCGUAGAUAUGUGUAGGAAUGCCGAUGAUGAAGAUAACUCACUGGACAGAAACUGACGCUGAAGUGCGAAAGCUAGGGGAGCAAACAGG